rnacentral:rRNA from 1 species
AUGAACGCUGGCGGCGUGCCUAAUACAUGCAAGUCGAGCGAACAGAUGAGGAGCUUGCUCCUCUGACGUUAGCGGCGGACGGGUGAGUAACACGUGGAUAACCUACCUAUAAGACUGGGAUAACUUCGGGAAACCGGAGCUAAUACCGGAUAAUAUAUUGAACCGCAUGGUUCAAUAGUGAAAGACGGUUUUGCUGUCACUUAUAGAUGGAUCCGCGCCGUAUUAGCUAGGUGGUAAGGUAAUGGCUUAUCAAGGCAACGAUGCGUAGCCGACCUGAGAGGCUGAUCGACUACACUGGAACGGGGACAGGCUCCAGACGCCUAAGGUAGGCAGCAGUAGACAAUGUUCGGCAGUAGGCGAGAUCUUGACGGAACGACGCCGCGUGUGGUAUGAAGGUCUUGCGAGCGUGAAGCUCUUUUAUUAGGGAAGAACAGAUGUGUAAGUAACUAUGCACUUCUUGACGGUACCGAGUCAGAAAGCCACGGCUAACUACGUG